ACCCUCUCAGGAUCACACCUGGAGGGAUUCCAGCACUCUACCAGUCUCGACUAUGGGAGGGAGAGUCGAGCAGAGGCCUACCCAUUCCACUUCUAGCUUGGCCAGUGGCUAGAGAGUGGAAAGAAAUCUGUUACAGAU